GUGGGGAAUCUUGCGCAAUGGGCGAAAGCCUGACGCAGCCAUGCCGCGUGGAUGAUGAAGGUCUUAGGAUUGUAAAAUCCUUUCACCGGUGAAGAUAAUGACUGUAGCCGGAGAAGAAGCCCCGGCUAACUUCGUGCCAGCAGCCGCGGUAAUACGAAGGGGGCUAGCGUUGCUCGGAAUUACUGGGCGUAAAGGGCGCGUAGGCGGACAGGUUAGUCAGAGGUGAAAGCCCAGGGCUCAACCUUGGAAUUGCCUUUGAUACUGGCUGUCUUGAGUUUGGGAGAGGUGAGUGGAACUCCGAGUGUAGAGGUGAAAUUCGUAGAUAUUCGGAAGAACACCAGUGGCGAAGGCGACUCACUGGCCCAAUACUGACGCUGAGGCGCGAAAGCGUGGGGAGCAAACAGGAUUAGAUACCCUUGUAGUCC
rnacentral:rRNA from 1 species